rnacentral:rRNA from 1 species
GACGAACGCUGGCGGCGUGCUUAACACAUGCAAGUCGAACGGAAAGGCCCUGCUUUUGUGGGGUGCUCGAGUGGCGAACGGGUGAGUAACACGUGAGUAACCUGCCCUUGACUUUGGGAUAACUUCAGGAAACUGGGGCUAAUACCGGAUAGGAGCUCCUGCUGCAUGGUGGGGGUUGGAAAGUUUCGGCGGUUGGGGAUGGACUCGCGGCUUAUCAGCUUGUUGGUGGGGUAGUGGCUUACCAAGGCUUUGACGGGUAGCCGGCCUGAGAGGGUGACUGGCCACAUUGGGACUGAGAUACGGCCCAGGCUCCUACGGGAGGCAGCAGUGGGGAAUAUUGCACAAUGGGCGGAAGCCUGAUGCAGCAACGCCGCGUGCGGGAUGACGGCCUUCGGGUUGUAAACCGCUUUCGCCUGUGACGAAGCGUGAGUGACGGUAAUGGGUAAAGAAGCACCGGCUAACUACGUG